UACGUAGGGGGCAAGCGUUGUCCGGAAUCAUUGGGCGUAAAGCGCGUGUAGGCGGUCCGGUAAGUCCGCUGUGAAAGUCCAGGGCUCAACCCUGGGAUGCCGGUGGAUACUGUCGAGCUAGAGUCCGGAAGAGGCGAGUGGAAUUCCUGGUGUAGCGGUGGAAUGCGCAGAUAUCGGGAGGAACACCAAUUGCGAAGGCAGCUCGCUGGGACGUCACUGACGCUAAGACGCGAAAGCGUGGGGAGCAAACAGG
rnacentral:rRNA from 1 species